rnacentral:rRNA from 1 species
GACGAACGCUGGCGGCGUGCCUAAUACAUGCAAGUAGAACGCUGAAGAGAGGAGCUUGCUCUUCUUGGAUGAGUUGCGAACGGGUGAGUAACGCGCAGGUAACCUGCCUUGUAGCGGGGGAUAACUAUUGGAAACGAUAGCUAAUACCGCAUAACAAUGGAUGACACAUGUCAUUUAUUUGAAAGGGGCAAUUGCUCCACUACAAGAUGGACCUGCGUUGUAUUAGCUAGUAGGUGAGGUAACGGCUCACCUAGGCGACGAUACAUAGCCGACCUGAGAGGGUGAUCGGCCACACUGGGACUGAGACACGGCCCAGACUCCUACGGGAGGCAGCAGUAGGGAAUCUUCGGCAAUGGGGGCAACCCUGACCGAGCAACGCCGCGUGAGUGAAGAAGGUUUUCGGAUCGUAAAGCUCUGUUGUAAGUCAAGAACGAGUGUGAGAGUGGAAAGUUCACACUGUGACGGUAGCUUACCAGAAAGGGACGGCUAACUACGUGCCAGCAGCCGCGGUAAUACGUAGGUCCCGAGCGUUGUCCGGAUUUAUUGGGCGUAAAGCGAGCGCAGGCGGUUUGAUAAGUCUGAAGUUAAAGGCUGUGGCUCAACCAUAGUUCGCUUUGGAAACUGUCAAACUUGAGUGCAGAAGGGGAGAGUGGAAUUCCGUGUGUAGCGGUGAAAUGCGUAGAUAUAUGGAGGAACACCGNUGGCGAAAGCGGCUCUCUGGUCUGUAACUGACGCUGAAGGCUCGAAAGCGUGGGGGANNNNANAGG